AAUACAGCAUGUUGCGCCAGCAAGAGCAUAAGGUGGACGGAUUUCUUCUUCUCUAAGAGUUCAUAGAGGACAUCCAUUGCAGGGUCAGUAUGUGCUGUGGAUGUCUGAAUGCCACAGGCACUCAUGUUGUUCACCACCCAAUGGCUUUGUCGAAUAUGAUGGUUUCGACUCCUGCUGUUGUGCUAUCUCUAUUUUAUUUGUAUCAGUUACAAUUUCAUAGGAAGAACAGAUGAAAUUGAUUAGGGGCAUGAUGUUUUUAGAUAUUGGUGCUUAAUAUGAUAUAUGUAUGUAUUGUCUUU
rnacentral:lncRNA from 1 species